GAUGAACGCUGGCGGCGUGCCUAAUACAUGCAAGUCGAGCGAACAGAUGAGGAGCUUGCUCCUCUGACGUUAGCGGCGGACGGGUGAGUAACACGUGGAUAACCUACCUAUAAGACUGGGAUAACUUCGGGAAACCGGAGCUAAUACCGGAUAAUUUAUUGAACCGCAUGGUUCAAUAGUGAAAGACGGUUUUGCUGUCACUUAUAGAUGGAUCCGCGCCGCAUUAGCUAGUGGGUAAGGUAACGGCUUACCAAGGCAACGAUGCGUAGCCGACCUGAGAGGGUGAUCGGCCAGACUGGAACUGAGACACGGUCCAGACUCCUACGGGAGGCAGCAGUAGGGAAUCUUCCGCAAUGGGCGAAAGCCUGACGGAGCAACGCCGCGUGAGUGAUGAAGGUCUUCGGAUCGUAAAACUCUGUUAUUAGGGAAGAACAAAUGUGUAAGUAACUAUGCACGUCUUGACGGUACCUAAUCAGAAAGCCACGGCUAACUACGUG
rnacentral:rRNA from 1 species